AUGGGUCGCGGGAUCCGGAUAGGAACGGGCAACCUGGCGGAGGCCGGCCGGAUCUGGAGCGAGCUGUGGCAGCUUGAGGCACGGACGCGGGCAGAACUCAACGAGACCAUGGCGCUACAGGAGGGCUUGGCAGCAGGAUCUUUAGGCUUCGGCAGUGAGGUUCGAAGGGGAAGCAGGGGAAUUUGGCGCGGCGGAACUCUCCAGCGAAGCAGCAGCGGUAGCAGGGCCAGGCGGAAGCGGGACUUGGUGAAGGCGGAGCCUCUCCGGCAAGGCGUGGACGGGACGACAAGAGUUCGAGGCCAUGGCGACUCGACGGCGGUGCUGCAGCUUCGAGGCGUCGGAGCUCCUUGUACGAGCAGACAGAGGGAGAGAGAUGUGAGGGAGGGGAGAAGAAUGGAAGGAGGGAGAAGAGAUGGGCGCGAGGCACUCAUCUCUGGCACGGCGGCGCUCCAAACGGCGGCGGUGGCGCUCGUUCUGGUUGGAAGAGGAGCUCGGUUCGGCUGGGGUCUCGGGCAUGAGGACGAGGCAGGUGGGGCUCGGGAAGAGGCUCUCGACGAGGGGAGGCGCAGGAGAUCAGGCGCCGUGGUGAUCCGCUCCCCGGCGAGCUCAGGCAAGGUAGAGGGGAUCACAGUCACGUGGGGGCUGCUACUGUUCGAAGGAGACGAAGGCACGGCGAUGGAUCAAAAGAAGAGGCAACAGAGAGAGGUGAGCGGGGAAAAGAGGAGGAUCUAG
rnacentral:rRNA from 1 species